AGUUAUACAGUAUAACUGUCAGAGACUUAAAUGGGAAAUUUUUUAAGUGACGGGGGAGUUUGAACUUUGAACCGAAGCGAUAGGAGCUUUGAAAUCAAGAGGCUUAAGUUUGUUUGGGUAAUUUAUUGAUCGGUGGGACUUGAUUAUUUACCGAAGAAAAGGGUUGGGGUGUUUUAGCAUCUGACGAUCGAGUAGUAUCAAUCAAGCAUGGCGUCGGCGUCGGCGUCGUCGUCGUCUUCAGCUCUCUCAAGACUGUCCAGUAUCAGCAGACACUUCAAUCCCUCCCACCCAAACAAGGACGGUGUGGCCUUAAUCAAGAUUUCUCCAGAGGUUUCCGAAGCUUUGUCAAUUGGGCGUGCCGUCGUUGCUCUUGAAUCCACCAUUAUUUCCCAUGGGAUGCCGUAUCCCAAGAAUUUGGAGACUGCAAAGGAGGUUGAGGCAAUUGUCAGGGAAAAUGGGGCUGUUCCUGCCACCAUUGCUAUCUUGGAUGGCACACCUUGCAUAGGUCUAACUAUAGAAGAACUGGAGAGGCUUGCCAGAUUGGGUCCAAGAGCUCAGAAGACAGCUCGAAGAGACAUUGCACAUGUUGUGGCAACCAGAGGGAACGGUGCAACUACUGUUUCUGCAACCAUGAUUUUUGCUCAUAUGGUUGGCAUCCCAUUGUUUGUAACGGGAGGAAUUGGAGGAGUACAUCAACAUGGCGAGCAUACAAUGGACAUAUCUUCUGAUCUUACUGAGCUUGGAAGGACACCUGUAGCUGUCAUCUCUGCUGGUGUAAAAUCAAUUUUGGAUAUCCCAAGGACCCUCGAAUAUUUGGAAACACAGGGAGUUUGUGUAGCUGCUUACAAGACCAAUGAAUUUCCAGCAUUUUUCACAGAAGCAAGUGGCUGCAAGGUGCCUUGCCGUGUAGAUACCCCAGAUGAUUGCGCUCGGCUUAUAGAUGCAAACCUUAAACUUGAGCUUGGAACUGGAAUGUUGAUUGCUGUUCCAAUUCCUAAAGAACACUCGGCUUCUGGAAAUUUAAUUGAGUCUGCAAUACAGACAGCUCUUAGAGAAGCUAGGGAUAAGAACAUAACAGGCAAUGCUGCUACUCCAUUCUUGCUUGCAAGAGUAAAUGAACUAACUGGAGGAGCAUCUUUGGCUUCGAACAUUGCCCUGGUGAAGAAUAAUGCACUUGUUGGUUCUAAAAUUGCUGUAGCACUUUCCCAGAUCAGAGAAUGUUGUAGAAAAGGUGGUUUGGAGUAAGCACUAGCUCUAAAGUAUUUUUAUCCAGAUCUGGCAAACACUUGAGCUUGAUGUUUUUCCUUUUCUUACUUUCACUUUGGGAGGAUAUGAUUGACUACUUGUGGAGGCAGAACAUCAUUCAAUUUAGUCUCAUUCCAAUGGGAAAUUUGAAUAUAAUCCGCAACAACUUAAGAGGUGUUAAUACUAUACUUUUGAGAAUCAUGAAUGAAAUUCAGAAGAGGGAAUGGAUGUGCCCAAUUAAACAA